GCUGGGCGUGGUGGCGCGCGCCUGUAGUCCCAGCUACUCGGGAAGCUGAGGCAGAAGAAUCGCUUGAACCCAGGAGGCGGAGGUUGCAGUGAGCUGAGAUCACACCAUUGUACUCCAGCCUGGGUGACAGAGCGAGACGCCGUCUCAA
rnacentral:SRP_RNA from 1 species